UACAGAGGUCCCGAGCGUUGUUCGGAUUCACUGGGCGUAAAGGGUGCGCAGGUGGCGCUUCAAGUUUGAUGUGAAAGCUUCGGGCUCAACCCGGAAAUGGCAUUGAAUACUGGAGUGCUUGAGGUUUGGAGGGGGGACUGGAAUUCUCGGUGUAGCAGUGAAAUGCGUAGAUAUCGAGAGGAACACCAGUGGCGAAGGCGAGUCCCUGGACAACACCUGACACUGAGGCACGAAAGCUAGGGGAGCAAACAGG
rnacentral:rRNA from 1 species